GACGAACGCUGGCGGCGUGCUUAACACAUGCAAGUCGAGCGGUAAGGCCCUUUCGGGGGUACACGAGCGGCGAACGGGUGAGUAACACGUGGGUGACCUACCCUUAGCUCUGGGAUAAGCCUGGGAAACUGGGUCUAAUACCGGAUAUGACUCCAUGACGCAUGUUGUGGGGUGGAAAGCCUUGUGCGGCUAGGGAUGGGCCCGCGGCCUAUCAGCUUGGUUGGUGGGGUGAUGGCCUACCAAGGCGACGGACGGGUAGCCGGCCUGAGAGGGCGACCGGCCACACUGGGACUGAGACACGGCCCAGACUCCUACGGGAGGCAGCAGUGGGGAAUCUUGCGCAAUGGGCGAAAGCCGUGACGCAGCGACGCCGCGUGGGGAUGACGGCC
rnacentral:rRNA from 1 species